GGCGGACGGGUGAGUAACGCGUGGGUAACCUACCCUGUACAGGGGGAUAGCAGUUGGAAACGACUAGAUAAAACCGCAUAAAACGGCAGUACCGCAUGGUACAACCGUCAAAUAUUCAUAGGUACAGGAUGGGCCCGCGUCUGAUUAGCUAGUUGUGGGGCAACGGCCUACCAAGGCGACGAUCAGUAGCCGGCCUGAGAGGAUGAACGGCCACAUUGGGACUGAGACACGGCCCAAACUCCUACGGGAGGCAGCAGUGGGGAAUAUUGGACAAUGGGGGAAACCCUGAUCCAGCCGACGCCGCGUGAGUGAAGAAGUAUUUCGGUAUGUAAAGCUCUAUCAGCAGGGAAGAUGAUGACGGUACCUGACUAAGAAGCACCGGCUAAAUACGUGCCAGCCGCCGC
rnacentral:rRNA from 1 species